AGCUCUUGCAGAACAAAAUCAAGGCAAAUAUGCCUUGAAAAUCCAAUGGACUGAGCCUCUGACACUGCCCCGAUGUGUGACCAUGGGCAUGUCAGUUACCAUGCUCUGUGCCUCUGUUUCCCCUCCCACCCUUUGUCUAUUUAGAUCAUAAGCUCUCUGAGGCCAGCACCGUCCCUCAUUAUGGAUAUGUACAGCACCUAACACCAUGGGGGUCCUGAUCUCAGUUGGUUGCUACCAUAAUACAAAUAAUGAUAGAUUAUAAAACAGACAGUGAUAGGGAGUAUUACUACCCCUUUAAGGGACAGUCUGGAGUUUACAGCCAAGACAGGCUGGGCUCAGUCAAGGAGCAACCUGCCCCACCCUUGUGGCUUGGCUACAUAAACAGGAAAAGGAGGCAGCUAGGCUGCUAAGAGUGAGAGGGUCAGCAGCUAUGUUGUCUGCUGCAGGUUCCCCAGGUCACUAGCCUGUCUUGGGCCCUAGAAACUUUGCUGUUUCUGAAUGUAAGUCUGGUUGCUCUGAAGUAAGGAGCUUCUGAUCUUGGUUAAGUGGUUCCUCCCCGACCUGGUGCCUCGGGAAAAGGGAGAAAGCCUGCCUGCUUCCGACAACAUUAAGGGAUGCCUGGUUUGUGCUGCAGUCCCCGAGGGGCUGGCCUCGCUCUCAGAAGCAGCGAUCUUGGAUUCUCCAGCAUUCCCUUAGCUGUGGAAGGGACUCAAAUGGGCCCUGAAACCAGAGAAUGAUCUUUCCCUCGACAUUACUGUAAGAUCAACAAUUGCCAAGACCUACCUCCAUCUCACGAAGGAUACAGGAACCCAAAGUUUUCAUUCAGACUCCAUCCAUCUGAACAGCACAUCGGAUUGCACCAUGCAUCACACCAGGGAGGAGCAGCCAAUUUCCUGCCUGUACACAAACUGCCACCUAGCACAAAAGGGGCCACUAAAGAAAAGACCCUGGAUUCAUUUCAAACAGGAGGCUUUAUUUUUUCCCAAGGCUAUGGACAAAUAAUACAACGUGAGAGAGUUAAUAUUACAGAGCUCUUGUCUUCCUAGAACACACUUAUUGUUCCCAUUGCCCUAAGAAGGCCUCUCUGCCACAAUAUCACCUUUAAUCUUAUUUUUCUUUGUCUCGUGUGCCUUUAAUUAUUCAUCUGCCUUUUUUGUGUUCGUUUAUGCAGCCUUAUCAGCUGACAUGAGCCCCGCUUUGUUUUCAAGUUCUGAUAUGUCAGUCUGAAUUACCCUGGUACGAAACUCUUGUGGCAAACAGGGGCCAACGAGGCUGGGUGCUGCAGCAAAGGCCAAUCCUGGACCCUAAAAAAGACCA